rnacentral:lncRNA from 1 species
UCAAAUGAUACAUCUUUAAUGUCUAAAAGGUGAUAAGUACUAAGAAACUGAUCUAGUUGACAGGCAAUGAAUCCUCCUUGCAUAGUACAUUUAUCUCCAUGGGAUAUCAAGAAUUACAACACUUCAGGAAAACUGGCACCUAGGUGAGCAAGCAGCCUCAAUCCUGUACAAAAGUUACAGAAAAACCUCAAUGUUUGCAAGUUUUAUUUUGUAAUAGAUCCACACCUAUCCCACAGUACCAUAUUCUUUCACUGCGCUUUUCAAUUGGUCAUCUGUACGAAAAACAUAAAAGGCUGCAACCCACUCAGUAAUACAGUAAUUCACAAUAAAUUAGCUUUGUUCUAUUUAAACUUGGCCUUUUUGAGGUCAAAUACCUCAAGGUAUGUAGUUACGGACUUCAUUUUUUAUGUAAAAUGUGUACCUCACAAUAUUUAUAAAACAAUUACUUGAUUAACACUUCGUCCAGAAGAUGUUUACUCCUUCCCUUGAGAAGGUAAAAGAUGAGGCUUCAGUUUCAGACGUGCUCUUGCCACUUGUCUGAAAUAAGCACUGAAUCUUACAUGAAGCCAAAAAAUUUGAACUUGCUUAACAAGCUUACUAACAAGACAAAAGACAUUUUUCCAUAUAUAAAAAAAAAAUUAGUUGCUUUUUACUGUAUGUGUUAGACAUAUCUACAAUGGAUUUUUUCCUUUUACAGAAUGAUAGGCAUAGAGAGGCAUUGUACUUACAUCAUCAUUAACUAAUCCAUUUUUUCUAGUAACUUGUGUCCUGAUUUUCACAAGCACUGAUUAUCAGCACAUCCUGGGUACUGAACGGUAGCAGCAGGCACUCAGAACUGUUGAAAACAGACUAUUAGUACUUGUAUUUUUGCUGCAAAUGCACCAUUUGAAAAGUAAACUUACCUCUUGAAAACAGGCAUGUUUACUUUUUAAGUCAAAAUCGGUUGACUAAUUACUAAUUACUUACUACUUUAAUCAUUCUUGUAGUGCUUUAGAAUGUUUAAAGUAACUAUUAACACUAAUUACUUAAUACACUAUAGUGGAUUACGAUCAAAAUUAAUAUGUCAGAAAUUAAGUUUAUGAUAAAUAAACUUUGAAAAAUUUAUACAUGGCCGUAAAUAAAUAAUUUGAACUUCAGUCUCAUUAAAAAGUAAAACAGUAUGUCACACAACAAUAUCAUCCUAGCUAGACAAUACAAUCUUGCUAUAUUUUAUUGCAUAAUAAUUUGAGAGUAACAUCUUAAGUAAAAUAUGUAAAGAAACAAAAA